UAGGGAAUCUUCGGCAAUGGGGGCAACCCUGACCGAGCAACGCCGCGUGAGUGAAGAAGGUUUUCGGAUCGUAAAGCUCUGUUGUAAGAGAAGAACGUGUGUGAGAGUGGAAAGUUCACACAGUGACGGUAACUUACCAGAAAGGGACGGCUAACUACGUGCCAGCAGCCGCGGUAAUACGUAGGUCCCGAGCGUUGUCCGGAUUUAUUGGGCGUAAAGCGAGCGCAGGCGGUUUAAUAAGUCUGAAGUUAAAGGCAGUGGCUUAACCAUUGUUCGCUUUGGAAACUGUUAAACUUGAGUGCAGAAGGGGAGAGUGGAAUUCCAUGUGUAGCGGGGAAAUGCGUAGAUAUAUGGAGGAACACCGGUGGCGAAAGCGGCUCUCUGGUCUGUAACUGACGCUGAGGCUCGAAAGCGUGGGGAGCAAACAGG
rnacentral:rRNA from 1 species